AUGGUAUAUGAGGUCAGGCAUUGUUUUCUUGACCCCCCAAAUUUCAACGUCAACAUUCUUUAAAUAGCCAUUAAAAUUAUAUUACCAUUUAUGGUGGUUGAAAUAAAUUUGUUUAUUUAUUUUUAGAAGAAACAUGCAUUUAUUGUUGAUAAAAAAAGUGACAACCACUGAACAAAGAAAAUACUAAAUUAAGCAUUUUCAAGGUCGUCCGGGUUUGGUGGUUGUCCGGUUUUGGUGGUCCCCAACCAGUAGCUUAAACAUUUAUGAACUGUAAAUUCUUCCCUCACACACUUUCAUCAAUAACAAUUUCAAUUAGAAAAGGUAUAUAAAUUAUGACAUGAAAACGUAAAACAAUGAAAGGUAUGAACACAUAAAACAAAGAUAAUUCAACAUAGAGCAACAAAACUAGUUCCACUGAGGAAUACCGUACCGCCGGUAAGGCCCCCAUGGUUACACUUUUAAAUGGAUUCGUUUCGAUUUUCAUUCAUAAACGGUUAUGAUAUUUUUUACCGUUUAUUCGAGAUGACCAUAUUGUCUUACAAAUUAUCUUAAUAAUUUCCUGUAAUCAUGGAUUUUAUCUAUACUUAUUGGUUUAUCAAAGUAAAAAAUGGAAAAUGGGUGUUUACAACCCGGACCACACACCAUCACCGUGCAAUAAUCGCUUGUGACAUAAUUCAUUUUUGUUGAAGUUGAUUUUUCUUUGAUCUUUUAAAUAACGAAAUGCGGAUACAAUGCAGAAAAUGUGUGCCGCCUAAAUCGUGAUGAGCACUGAACAUUAUUUAUUAUAGAAAGUAAGUCAUCAUUUGGCAAAUUACAUGGUAUAGUAUAGUGCAUAGAAGUAUCACCGUAAACAGUAUCGAUUCGGUUCUUAGCAAUCAUGUAAAAAUUGUAAACGUGGGAGCCUUUACCGCCGGAUAUUGCUCGAUAUUACGAGGACUUUCAUCCCAUUUCAAGACUAUGAACAAAGGUAAAUUCAAGGUAAACGUUCAAUCUGACAACAAUAAAAUUUCAGAUGACAGUGCAUUUUGAGAAUAAAUAAACAUGUCAGUUUACCGAGUAUUGCUUUGGAGUUGCUCGCCGGUGUCACUAGUAUGCUUUUUAAUGUAACGAGUAUUGGUUAUUAAUAUCAAGUAAAUGUGAGAAGUAAUCACAGAGUAUUUACCACAUUUAACCUUAAAUAUUUCUUAUUGUCACAAUGUGUAUACUUAUUGACAUAUGUGCAGAAUAUGCAGAUUUUGGAGGUACUGUACUGAAUAAUACAUACCCAGCAAACAUGCAUAUAUGGGACCCAUAUGGGCUAUAUCUAGGCAAGCUAAUGGGUAUACCCAUAUUGGACCUAUAUGGAUCCAAUAUUGGCAAGUCCAUUUGGGUACGCCUAUAUAUUAGACCCAUAUGGGUACCAUAUUCCAGCACUUUAAGGAAAAACAAUUUUUCUUUUAUUUAUUUCUUUAGAACUCGUUUACUUUGAGCUAUAGUGUGACCACCUUGGCAUAAAUUGCUAUUAUCCUAUAUAAAAUUGUAGCAUUAUUUUAAACAUUUAUACAAGCCAUGAGGGACCCAUAAGGGUCCCAUUUGGGCAACCCGAUAAAUAUAAGCAUGCCUGAGCAGGUGCGAGAAAUUAAUUUGUUAAGUUUUUAUAUUGGUUUUAAUUUUUAUUAUUUAAAUAUAAAAAUGUGUUUUUAGACUAUAAAUUCAGAAAUAAUUUAUAAAAAUCAGUUUUUGAUGAAAAAAUUUAUUUCGAGCAUGUGCAGACGUGCUUUCCGCUGCCGCUUAAAAUCAAAUUGUGUAUUGAAAUGUUAAAUUGUACACGAAAAAAAUAUUUCUUUUCGAUUCCAAGCAUUUAACCACGAUUUCGUAUAACGACUUUUCAUAUUAUAUCCUUACAUGUUUAUUGUGUGUGUAGGUAAGCUGUAAACGCUGUUUAGUUUUUGGUUUUGCCUUUGUCAUGUAAUUUCCCAAUAGUCGUUUAAUUUGCGACAUUUUCUAGAAUUUACGCCCUGACUCUUAGGCACUUUAGGUGACCUAUGCAUGUGUAUAGUUGUUAUUGUUGAAUUUCUUAACUGUGACGGAGUCUACACUAACAUUUUAAAAAUAUUGUUUCUAUCUAGACUAAAUUUUAAGAGAUCUCUUUUUAAAGGGACACCAUCAUUUGAAAUCCAGUGUCCCCCCCUAGCCUUAGAAGUCCCUUCCAUUUUGUACCAACAUUUCAUUCAUAAGCAUUUAAAAAUAUUAAAUACAAAUACUUAUUUUUACAAAUUCAAGUAUUUUUUCCAAGUACCAACCAAGCCCUCUAGCUGUUGCACAGGCAUGAGUAUCGGACCUGAGAAGAAAAAAUAUGACCUGAUAGAUAAUUAAACCUGUGUUCAUCUUAAAAAAUUCGUAAACCAAAAAAAAUGUAAAUUAUGACCCCCUUUAAAAACAUACUAUAAGUUAAGAGAAGGCUGGAAACUCUAGAUUCGAGCCUACGAGCAAGGGAUUCACUACCCAGGCCGUUGUGAAAACAAUUGUCCAGACAAUUAAAAAUCUUUUAUCAUUAUUUCACAUUUGUAUUAAGCUUCCAAAUGAGACCAACUCCAAGUCUCUAGCCCUUCCUGUUCAUUAAAUAAUCCCAUCAGGAAACGAGCGCAUUCGUGCUAAAAAUCCUUGGUAGAAAAAAUUGCGGCACAACAAUUCGGUACGUAAACAUAGACUAAUACAUGUUUGUCAGCCGUGCACAGGUCAUAAUCAUAUUGUCACUUGGUGCAAUAACUCGCUUAAUGUAUAUGUAUUUUUUAACUACUUAUUAAUGUAUUUUCAUUUUAUUGUCAAUAGGCCAUCAAAAAGGCUGUAUGAAUCGGAUAGUGACACUGAUGAGAAUGAGACAGACACCGAGAGUAGGCCAUCACAAGUUAUUGACAAAGCAACAACUCCAAACAGGCACGAAGCCUGCUUUCACCUCCGCCUUGCUUAUCUGGACAGGCAUUGCGAGAGGCCAGCAGUGAUGUGCAAAGUGCUUCUCUAAUACAAGGUGCUUCUGAUAUGCCCUCCCGUGGGCAGAUUAUUGGGCCCAUUAAGUAUAAACUUCGGAGCUGUAAAUAUAUUCAUUACAGUACAUACUUAUUAAAUGUUCUAUCCUCAAAACAAGCCAAUAAAUGUUGUAACAAGCUGGAUUGAGCGACACAGCCAAAAAUGGAAAGUUUCACCUUAUGACGCCCCUAGUUAAAAAAAAAAUUCAAAAGAAAUUGAUGAUUACUUGUGUUAGUCUUUAUCAUGAAGUGAAUUAAUGUUCGCCUAUUCUUGUCUGACCCCACAACUGUUAUCCAAAGUUACUGUCCUUGGAAUAGUCAAAAAUGUUUAUUUUCACCCCAUGACAUGCCUAGCUCAAAAUAUUUUAAGUUUAAUUCAUGAUUUCUUAUCAUUUUCACAUUUUGUGACCUUGCACACUCAACAAUCCUUUUGAGAUUUUAGCGUUAAUUACUGUUAAAGCCAAGGAAAAAUUUAAAAUACUGGAUUUUUUUCAUAUGUAAUUCACAAAGCUCUAAAAGUGUAAAGCCUAGAAUUAUGAAUCCUUUUUGAAGCUGCUGUUACACAGAUUGUCUGAGUCUUGUAGACAAUGCGGGAGGAGAAUCGUGAAAUUAAGAGGAUGAUGUAGCAAUUGUUGUCAAGGUCAGCAGCAGAUGACCAACCGCUGCAGCUUCCUGAAGAUAUCUCAUUCCCUUUUCGUUCUCCUUAGCAGAUGGAAACAUUCGAUGAGCUUCUUGGAGAUCAGACAAAGCUGUCAUCUGUGGUGCGGUUCCUCUCAAUGUUUGGUGGGGCAGUUGUGCGGGAAACUGUUGACCGCUAGAUGAUAGAAACCAUGUCAAAUGAACUGGCAAGAAUGUUCAAUAUGAAGGGGGCUGAAAGGGAAGAAAACAUUUGGGGGCCUCUAGAUACUGAAUGUAUUGUAUAGAUGUGUCCAAAGGAACUUGCCGACAAAGACUGCGACGAGGAAGGAUAUUGAAAUAAAGGUUUCAAAGUGGCUGGCUGGGGCGUGGGACCGCGAUGGGGGAAGGAAAGCAAGAAACAAAGUGUCCGAGACCUUACCUGAAGCAAAUGAAGGAAGUGACUAGACAUGUUUUUAUUUUAAAAAAAUGCAAAUCUAUAGAGGAUAUUUGUUUGUUAGUGUGUAAGAUGACAUUUUAUAUCAUCAAAUGAGCUGUAAAAACAUUAUUCUCACGAGUGAGAACACUGUUAUUUAAAAGUCCCUCAAUGAUAUAAAAUUACAUCUUACACAACAAACAAUAAAGUGUCUUUUUAUUUUAUGCUAAUGAAAUUUCCUCAAUAUUAACUUUAAUAAUUAUUAAAUCUGUUUUCCCCACUGUUAACAUCAAUUUUAGUUGAAUUUAAGUCCAAUUAUUCAUAAAUACAGGAGUCUUAGGCUUAACAAAAAAGUUUGACAAUCAACGUUGAAUAGCAAUGAUUUUAUUUAUUUUAUUAAAAAUAUAUGAAUAAUCGCUUGUUUUAAUAAUAAAAACAACCAAUUCUAGUAGAAAAAGUCACACCAUCCCACCUUAUUUCUGUUACUCAGGCAAAUUUAUGUAUGACCUGGCUUUGUGAAAUGUAAGUGGCGGCCAUUUUUAAAAGUUUUGUAUUUUAAGGAAAAUUAAUUUUGUUUUAUUCAGAGGAAUAUUAUUUGGAUAGGUUAGUCUUGAAACAGUCCUGAGAAUGUCAGAAUUGUAAGCAAAAAUGAUAUUAAGGUACCACAUGGGGAAAAUCUUUAAAAAGUAGUCUCGUCAUUGAAAA